AUUGAACGCUGGCGGCAUGCCUUACACAUGCAAGUCGAACGGUAGAGGGGGCAACCCCUCGAGAGUGGUGAACGGGUGAGUAAAGCAUCGGAACGUGCCCAGUAGUGGGGGAUAGCCCGGCGAAAGCCGGAUUAAUACCGCAUGAGACCUACGGGUGAAAGGGGGGGAUCGCAAGACCUCUCGCUAUUGGAGCGGCCGAUGUCAGAUUAGGUAGUUGGUGGGGUAAAGGCCUACCAAGCCGACGAUCUGUAGCUGGUCUGAGAGGACGACCAGCCACACUGGACUGAGACACGGCCCAGACUCCUACGGGAGGCAGCAGUGGGGAAUUUUGGACAAUGGGCGAAAGCCUGAUCCAGCCAUGCCGCGUGCGGGAAGAAGGCCUUCGGGUUGUAAACCGCUUUUGUCAGGGAAGAAAUCCUUUGAGCUAGUACCUCGGGGGGAUGACGGUACCUGAAGAAUAAGCACCGGCUAACUACGUGCCAGCCGCCGCAGUAAUAC
rnacentral:rRNA from 1 species